rnacentral:misc_RNA from 1 species
ACCUCAGAUGUGCUACACAGUGUAUUACCUGUUUCUACCUCGCAGAUGUGCUACACAGUUGCUUAUGACUGCCUAUAAAAUGGCCGGGAUCGGUGAGGCUGCUGGAACCAAGGAGAGAGAGCAUAUAUAUCCACCGAUCAUGAUGAAGGGUGGCAGCAAGAAGGAAGUGGCCGGUGCGGCGGCGGUGGUGGCCAUACUGCUGGUUCUGCAGCUGAUGGCAGCUCCACCGACGGCCAUGGCCGCCCGCUCGCCGCGCGGAGCCGUGCCGGAUGGCUCCCUCGCCACGACGCCCAAGGUGACGAUGCUGUCAGCCACGCUGUGCUACACGGGGGAGACAUGCAAAUACAUUACCUGCCUCACUCCUGCUUGCUCCUGUAACUAUGAUGAUCGUCGCUGCUACAUCAUAUUUACUCCUGCUGCUGCUUGAGGCCAUUCUGUGUACGUGAAUGAAGCCACUACUACUCUCACACAGCAUGCGCCGGCCGACGACGUGCGUACGUAUAUAUAUACGCUCUACCUCGUGAGCUUUUGUUCGAGUGAUACGUGUUUCAAGGCAUCCAUCCAUCCAUGGAUGCUUAUGUACGUAUAUGUGUUAGUCGUGUGUCAGGCAACCGGGCAGCAGAAGGGGGUGUUGUAUUAUAUAUAUUUACGUCUUCUGGUGAUUAAAUAAUAAAGGGGGGCAUGUUGGAUGUGUGCAAGGCAUAUCUGUAGAGCAAUUUUAUUGCUCGCACUGCCAUAAUGGCAAAAAUCCAAAAAUCUUAUGCCUGGAUUUUAUUCAAACGAAAAAAGCAACACCAAAAUUGUUAGCAAGCAAGAUGCUGAUCAAUAUAUGAAGGAUUUGACC